ACCUCCUCGAUGUUCCUCCAGACCCCAAAGUCCCCCUUGUCCUCCAUGCCCCCCCAUAUACCCUCAUGAUUUCCCAUAGACCACCCUGACCCCCUACGGAUCCUAAAGUCCUCCUUACCUUCCAUGCCCCCAUAAGCCCCCACAAUCCCCUAUAGAGCCCUACAUCCUUUAUGCCCCCCUAUAAGCUCCCACCAUCCCCUACAGACUCCAGCCCACCCCUUUGUCGCCCCAUUGGCACUCCACAGCACCGCCACCACCCACAUCCUUUUCCGUUGUAGGGCGGAAGGAAGCGGCGGCCCCACAGUGUGGCAGCAGCGCCAUGGCUGGCCCUAUAACCGCCCUUAUGGGCGUUGUGCUCAGGGGUCCUGGAGGUCGCGGGGACCCCCAGCUUUGGUUAUGGGGUGCUGAUGCUGUCAGAGGGACGGGUGGUUGUGGGGGCUCCAAAUGUGGGGCGGUUGUAUGGCUGCCAGGUGCAGAGUGGGGAGUGCAGGGAAGUGGAGUUAUGGGGGAACCACAGCGCUGCCCAUAUGGGAAUGGCUCUGAGCCGGGAUGGGAACAACACCAUCGCUUGUGGCCCCGGGCUGAGGUGGGAAUGCAACCACAACAUCCACGUUGGGGGGGUCUGCACUGUGCUGGACCCCUAACUGCAGCCGCUGCAGGUGUUGGAGGCUGGAUAUCAGGUCUGAAAGCAUAUGAGUUCAAGGCCAUCCGGGAUUUCAUGGUGGAGGUGAUGGAGCAGCUGAGCAACAGCUCCUUCAGGGUGAGCACUGGGGGGUGGGAGCGGGGGCUUCUCUGGGGUCUCUGGGGGCUUCUCUGGGGGCCCUACGGGUGUAUAGGAGUCUCUAUGGGUCUGUACGUGUUUUUGUGGAGUCCCUAUGGCGUCUCUAUGGUGUCGGUAUGGGAUGUCCACACAUCCGUUUGUCCAUCAGAUCGCAGCCGUUCAGUGCUCCGAUUUCCCUGAGCCUGUGUGUCUCUAUGGGGUCUGUAAGGGGUCUGUGUGGACGAUAUGGGGUCUCUACGGGGCCCCUGUGGGUAUAUAGGAGUUUCUAUGGGGUCACUAUGGUGUUUCUAUGGGGUCCCUAUGGGGUAUCUGGGGCAGCAUGGGACCUCCACGAGGUCGCUAUGGUGUCAGUACGGGAUGUCCGUCUGUCCGUCAGUUCGCAGCCGUGCAGUUCUCUGAUUCCCUGGAGCCGGUUUUCGCACUCCGCGAUUACUUGGAGCGGCCGCAGCCCCGGGAGCUGCUGCGCGACGUCCGGCAGCAGGACAGCUUCACCGACACCUUCACGGCUGUCCAAUAUGUCGCAUGCGUGUCAGCUGACCGCCCCACGUGACCACCCGCCCGUCACAUGACCGCCCGCCUCCCUGCGCUCGCUGUGUCUCCUGGCACCCUGUCACAUGACCGCCCGUCUGUGACUUCGGGCCACGCGACCAACUGUCUGAGUUCCCUUCACGUGACCACCUGACUGUGAGUUCCUGUCACGUGACCGCCUCUCUGUCACGUAGAGGGAAGGGGACGGGAGUGGAAGGGUGGGAAGGGGUGUGGAGGAGAGAGGAGGGGACUGAAGGGGAGGGGAGGAG
ensembl:lncRNA